rnacentral:rRNA from 1 species
AGGACGAACGCUGGCGGCGUGCCUAACACAUGCAAGUCGAACGCUCUCCAUUCAGUAGCAAUACUGAUGAAGAGGGAGUGGCGAACGGGUGAGUAGCACGUGAGCAACCUGCCCCGAAGACUGGGACAACACCGGGAAACCGGUGCUAAUACCGGAUAUCCCUAUCGGACCGCAUGAUCUGAUAAGGAAAUGGAUUCCGCUUCGGGAGGGGCUCGCGGCCUAUCAGCUAGUUGGUGAGGUAAUAGCUCACCAAGGCAUCGACGGGUAGC